rnacentral:rRNA from 1 species
CGUAAGGCGCCGAAUGAGUCAUUAAAAAAUUAACAUCAUCCGAUCCCCUAGUCGGCAUAGUUUAUGGUUAAGACUACGACGGUAUCUGAUCGUCUUCGAUCCCCUAACUUUCGUUCUUGAUUAAUGAAAACAUCCUUGGCAAAAUGCUUUCGCAGUAGUCAGUCUUCAAUAAAUCCAAAGAAUUUCACCUCUGACAAUUGAAUACUAAUGCCCCCAAUAUCCCUAUUAAUCAUUACGUCAAUCCUAGAAACCAACAAAAUAGGAUCGAACGUCCUAUUUCAUUAUUCCAUGCUAAUGUAUUCAAGCG